rnacentral:rRNA from 1 species
GUGUAGCAAUACAUGCUGACGAGUGGCGCACGGGUGCGUAACGCGUAUGCAACCUACCUAAAACUGGGGAAUAGCCUUCUGAAAGGAAGAUUAACACCGCAUAACAUCAUGAAACGGCAUCGUUUUAUGAUCAAAUCUCCGGAGGUUUUAGAUGGGCAUGCGUGACAUUAGCUAGUUGGUGAGGUAACGGCUCACCAAGGCUACGAUGUCUAGGGGGUCUGAGAGGAUGAUCCCCCACACUGGUACUGAGACACGGACCAGACUCCUACGGGAGGCAGCAGUAAGGAAUAUUGGACAAUGGGCGCAAGCCUGAUCCAGCCAUGCCGCGUGAAGGAUGACGGCCCUCUGGG